rnacentral:rRNA from 1 species
GAUGAACGCUGGCGGCGUGCCUAAUACAUGCAAGUCGAGCGAACGGACGAGAAGCUUGCUUCUCUGAUGUUAGCGGCGGACGGGUGAGUAACACGUGGAUAACCUACCUAUAAGACUGGGAUAACUUCGGGAAACCGGAGCUAAUACCGGAUGAUAUUUUGAACCGCAUGGUUCAAAAGUGAAAGACGGUCUUGCUGUCACUUAUAGAUGGAUCCGCGCUGCAUUAGCUAGUUGGUAAGGUAACGGCUUACCAAGGCAACGAUGCAUAGCCGACCUGAGAGGGUGAUCGGCCACACUGGAACUGAGACACGGUCCAGACUCCUACGGGAGGCAGCAGUGGGGAAUCUUCGGCAAUGGGCGAAAGCCUGACGGAGCAACGCCGCGUGAGUGAUGAAGGUCUUCGGAUCGUAAAACUCUGUUAUUGGGGAAGAACAUAUGUGUAAUUAACUGUGCACAUCUUGACGGUACCUAAUCAAAAAGCCACGGCUAACUACGUG